GAGUUUGAUCUUGGCUCAGAUUGAACGCUGGCGGCAUGCCUUACACAUGCAAGUCGAACGGUAGCACGGGAGCUUGCUCCUGGUGGCGAGUGGCGAACGGGUGAGUAAUGCAUCGGAACGUAUCCUGGAGUGGGGGAUAACGUAGCGAAAGUUACGCUAAUACCGCAUAUUCUGUGAGCAGGAAAGCGGGGGACCUUCGGGCCUCGCGCUCUUGGAGCGGCCGAUGUCGGAUUAGCUAGUUGGUGAGGUAAAGGCUCACCAAGGCGACGAUCCGUAGCAGGUCUGAGAGGAUGAUCUGCCACACUGGAACUGAGACACGGUCCAGACUCCUACGGGAGGCAGCAGUGGGGAAUUUUGGACAAUGGGGGCAACCCUGAUCCAGCCAUGCCGCGUGAGUGAAGAAGGCC
rnacentral:rRNA from 1 species